rnacentral:rRNA from 1 species
AUGAAAGCCAAGCAGCUGUCUUUGAAUAACUCCUUGGAUACUAUCUCAUGGAAGCAUAAUAGUAAAGGAAAAUUUACGACUAAGUCGGUUUAUGAGUGGUUAGAAAGGAACCUAUCUGGCCCCAACUAUAAAUGGGUGUGGAAAGCCCCUAUCCCACUGAAAAUCAAAAAUUUCUUGUGGCAACUUUUUCAAAAUGUUGUGCUUACAAGAGAUAAUAUGCGGGCUAGGAAGUGGCCUGGGAAUCCUACAUGCUCUUUUUGCACAAAUGUUGAAACAGCGAACCAUUUAUUCUUUACUUGCCCACUUGCCCGCACAGUUUGGGGCGUGCUGGGAAUGACGGGUGGGGCAUCUUGCUGUCCCAGAUCGCUUUGGCAAAGUUGGGCAUGGUUGUAUAGGUUCUUUCCAGGAGGGGAACAUUUCUAUAUGAUGAUUAUCGCUGCUGUUUGCUGGGGGAUCUGGAACCUUCGCAAUAAAGUCACUUUUGAUAAACAUAUUGCUCGCACUUCGUUGGAGGCUGUUUUCACUGCAUGUUCUUUUAUGUUAUAUUGGGCAGGUUUGCUUAAAGAAGAUGACAAGGUGAAGUUUCAAACUGGUGUGAAGAGAUUGGCUCACGCGGCUGCUGCGUUGGCGGAUAGAUCCUUCCCUCGUGGCAGACUUCUCCUCGGCAACAAUGAUGGGAUCCAGAUCGGCUAG